UGCAGUCGAGCGGUAGCUCCUAUUGGUUAAAGCCGAUAGGAGUGAGAGCGGCGCACGGGUGAGUAACACGUAGGUAACCUACCCCAGAGAGGGGGAUAACACCUCGAAAGGGGUGCUAAACCCCCAUAUACUUACCGAGCGAGAUGCUUAGGUAAGGAAAGGGUAUAGAGGGGUAACCCUCUAUGCUGCUCUGGGAUGGGCCUGCGGCCUAUCAGCUAGUUGGUGGGGUAAAGGCCCACCAAGGCUAAGACGGGUAGCCGGCCUGAGAGGGUGGUCGGCCACACUGGGACUGAGACACGGCCCAGACUCCUACGGGAGGCAGCAGCCGGGAAUCUUCCGCAAUGGGGGAAACCCUGACGGAGCGACGCCGCGUGAGGGAAGAAGCCCUUCGGGGUGUAAACCUCUUUUCUCGGGGAAGAAAGCAUGACGGUACCCGAGGAAAAAGCCCCGGCUAACUACGUGCCAGCAGCCGCGGUAAGACGUAGGGGGCGAGCGUUGUCCGGAUUUACUGGGCGUAAAGGGCGUGUAGGCGGCUUAGCGAGUCAGAUGUGGAAGCCCCGGGCUCAACUCGGGGAGGACAUCUGAUACUGCUAAGCUAGAGGGCAGGAGAGGAGAGCGGAACUUCCGGUGUAGCGGUGAAAUGCGUAGAUAUCGGAAGGAACGCCGGUGGCGAAGGCGGCUCUCUGGACUGUCCCUGACGCUGAGGCGCGAAAGCUAGGGGAGCGAACGGGAUUAGAUACCCCGGUAGUCCUAGCCGUAAACGAUGGGCACUAGGUGUGGGGAGUUAGACUCUCCGUGCUGCAGCUAACGCGAUAAGUGCCCCGCCUGGGGAGUA
rnacentral:rRNA from 1 species